ensembl:snoRNA small nucleolar RNA SNORD60
AGCCUGUGAUGAACUUUCAAUUUCUGACACCUCGUAUGAGUAUUGCCUAAGCAGUACUUGAUUACGCUUUAUGGCUGAGGCUA